rnacentral:rRNA from 1 species
AGAGUUUGAUCCUGGCUCAGGACGAACGUUGGUGGUGCGCUUAAUGCAUGCAAGUCGAGGGAGAAGCAGACGUUCCGUAAGGUUCGACUGUGGAAACCGGCGAACGGGUGCGUAACACGUGAGAAACCUGCCCCCCAGAUCGGGAUAGCCCAGGGAAACUUGGAUUAAUACCGGAUACUCUCUUUGGAUCGCAUGAUCCGUUGAGGAAACAGUCCGCUGCUGGGGGAUGGUCUCGCGGCCUAUCAGGUAGUUGGUGAGGUAACGGCUCACCAAGCCUUAGACGGGUAGCUGGUCUGAGAGGACGAUCAGCCACACUGGAACUGAGACACGGUCCAGACUCCUACGGGAGGCAGCAGCAGGGAAUAUUGCACAAUGGGCGAAAGCCUGAUGCAGCGACACCGCGUGCGGGAUGACGGCCUUAGGGUUGUAAACCGCUUUCAGGAGGGAAGAAAAUGACGGUACCUCCAGAAGAAGCUCCGGCCAACUACGUGCCAGCAGCCGCGGUAAUACGUAGGGAGCAAACGUUGUCCGGAUUUAUUGGGCGUAAAGGGCUCGUAGGCGGUUCAACAAGUUGGUCGUGAAAACCCGGGGCUCAACCCCGGGACGCCGAUCAAAACUGUUGUGACUAGAGUUCGGUAGAGGUGAGUGGAAUUCUCGGUGUAGCGGUGGAAUGCGCAGAUAUCGAGAGGAACACCAUUACGAAGGGCGGCUCACUGGGCCGAUACUG